GUCAGGAUGAAAUGCGACCAUAUGUUCUAUGGCAGCGGUCGUCAACUCUUAGAACUUCACGGACCACUAUAUAUAUAAUUUUAUAUUUGGUGGACCAUUAAUAUGAAUUUAAAAAAAGAUUUUACAUCCACUUCAGUAAAAAUUGGUAAAUACAUCAGAUGUCGUUUCUGCUUAUAUCAAAGUAAAUAUACCACUCACGUUCGAGAUCAUGAAGCUACUCAUACUGGGGAAAGACCUCAUAAAUGUACACUCUGUUUUCAAUCAUUUAUACAGAAAUCUAGCCUUAAGCGGCAUUAUGUAACUCAUCGUAAAAUUCCUGAUUUCAGCUGAUUUUUUUUCAGGGAAAUCUCCCUGAGAUGACCACCUAUGAUUCCAGACAAUUUUGAUCUUCUAUGGAUAAGUGGUUUACUGUUGGUGAUACUUAGUAUUAUUAUUUAACUAUAUUUUAACAAAUACACUUUCAGAGUUGCUUGUCUAAGGGAAGUAGUAGCUUAUGAGAGUUUUCACUAUAUUUAUGCUCAUUUAUUAAGGAAGAUUUAGUCAGUCAUGCCUUGUUUCGAUUAGGUUUUAAAAAUUUAGGUGUAAUUAAACUAUCAAUAUUUAGAAGUUGAGGUGGAAUUGUAAAUGUCAGUAUAUUCCUAAUAAAUGUUUUUUAUUUUUUUUUAGGGUACAGAAUUGCAACUAAAAGGAAUUAUCGAAAAUUUUAUUAUUGCCGCUUUUGCUUAUAUAAAAGCAAACAUCCUACUCAUGUUCGGGACCAUGAAGCUACUCACACUGGAGAAAAGCCUCAUAAAUGUCCAGUGUGUUUGAAAUCAUUUAUUCAGAAAGGACAUCUCAAAUACCAUUUUGUAAGAAACCAUCUUCGGAAUUUUCAGUAGUACACUCACAGAUAUUUUGUUGUCAUCAAUGAAAAAAUGCAUUGAAUGUUACUAUUCAAAGGAAGACUUGUAUAUUUAGGAAAGUAUAAAAAGAAAAGAAAGUAGCUUAAAACUACUGAAAUUAUUUCUGAUUUUUAUUUAAUUCGUAAUAAAGGGCCUAAAUAUGU